UACGUAGGGUGCGAGCGUUAAUCGGAAUUACUGGGCGUAAAGCCGUGCGCAGGCGGUUUUGUAAGUCAGAUGUGAAAUCCCCGGGCUUAACCCUGGGAACUGCGUUUGAAACUACAAGGCUAGAGUGUGGCAGAGGGGGGUGGAAUUCCACGUGUAGCAGUGAAAUGCGUAGAGAUGUGGAGGAACACCGAUGGCGAAGGCAGCCCCCCUGGGUUAACACUGACGCUCGAGGCACGAAAGCGUGGGGAGCAAACAGG
rnacentral:rRNA from 1 species